ACACGAAUCAAUUUCGGUACUUAUACAACGACGAAUUCAACGUCCCUUUCCCUUUUAUUUUUUUUCCUUUCAUUUUCAAGGGCAGCACUAAUACAUGAAUACAAUAACAAAACUAGAGACUGAGAAGAGUAUCACCUAAUCAUUAACAAAAUUUCAAAAGAAAGAAGAAGAAGAUGAUGAUGAUGAUACAAAACAAUCAAGGAAAAUACUAAACAAAAAUAAAGUAAAUGGCAAAUUCAAUCGGGAAACCCAAAAAAAAAAAAAUUGUGACAAAACAGGUGCUAGAGGGAAUUUACCGGCGACCGUCUUGUUGCGCUUCCAUUUCAAAGAGUGUGUCCGUACAAAUCGUAGGGUGACCAGAGGGCGUCCAGCGGGCACGGCCGUUUCGAGUCCACCCUCAGCCACGGCUUCCCGCUGCCCGACCAAUGCAGCAGGCUCACCGCUCCCGGAUGCAGGUCACGGCAGCUGCCCUUCACAUUAUCACCUCCCAACCCGUGUUGGUUCCAGCGGUGCUCGAUGGGCGCCACGUGCCCCGCGAAAACUAACAGAAACGGGGGCAGCGACCCCAGCUCGUAGAUCCGGUGCCUCUUCUGGAUCUCCAUCCACCUCUCGAUCCGCUUGGUGUACUUGGCCCGCCUCCACCUCACGAGAUCUAUCACCAUCACACCGGUGUUGAAGUAACAAGGCUUCCGGCCGUCAAAGGUGCCGGAAAACCGCUGAUCGGCCCAGAAAGCGGGCGUGAAGUAGUUGGUGAAGUUGGCGUGGCAGUACUCGGGCGCCCCGAUGGUUCUGGAGCCGAGGCUGGUAGCCCAGAGCCUGGAUAUGUCGUCGACCAAAACGAGAUCGGAGUCCAAGUAGAUGACCCGGGCAACGCAGGGUUCCAGUAGAUCCGCCAAGUAAUUGCGGGCGUAAUUGAGCGGUUGCUCCAGCGCUUGCCUCACCGAUGUCGAGAUCAGGCUCCGCACCAUCCUCGGAUCAAAGUAGUACACCCUGAACUUCAAUUGCGGGAAAGUGGAUCGCACUAGGGCUUCCAGAUUCGUCUCCGACACCAGGAAGUGGAAGAAGACGCUCUCCGGGCAAAGCGAGUGCUGCAGGACCGAGUGCACGGCGGCGAUUGACCCUCGGAGAUACUCCACGUCUAGAGUGAUGGCCACGUGUACCAAAUUGGGAUGGCACAUUCCUGGGGCGCCGUAGGAGGAGGCACAUUCAUCGGCAUUGCGGUAUGCGGAGGCCUUCCGGAAGUUGAAGUGGCCUCCCCCGGAAUCCGUCGGGGGAGGAAGGCGGAGGUAAGAGUAAUCGAGAUAGUGGUGAGGGGAUCGGAUGGCUUCGGCAGGAGGGAAGGAUUGGAGAGACGGGGAGAGAAUGAUCAUGAGCAUUGCAGCAGAGAAGAAGCCAGAGAACCUCAUAAUCCAGAGCAUAUUCUUUCGCUUCUUUUCUGUGCUUGUACUACUAUCGCCGCUGCAGAAAGGUCCACCUCUUCUCCUCCUCCACCACCUCGUCUUGGAAUUGAAGAAAUUGAAGAAAUCGAAGAAAUCUAAGAAAUUGUAAUGAUGUUCCGCUACAACUGUCGACGAAAGGAACGCCAAGGUUCCUUUGAGGUCCGCCAGAAUUGUAGAAAUAGAGCGACCGAUUUAUGCUUUGACCUUGAGAAUGAAUGAACGAAUAUAAAGUAAUAAAAUUAGGGGUGGUUUGUUGCCGCUGCAGAAGGUGGGAGUGGGAGGGAGAGAAUCGAUCUCUUUCUCUCUAUCAAAGUCUGUGUGGAGGCUGUUGCCGUGGGAACCAAGCGAAGCGAUCUUUUGGAUAUUUUAGGUAGAUAAAGACGGAGAGGAGGAAAAACCACCAUCCAUCAACACCACGUACGCCAGCCACGGCGAACAACAAGAGGUUCAGGUUCAGCUCUACCCUUCCCCUUCUUCUCCUCCUCCCUCUCUCUCCCUCUGUCCUGCCUCACUCUAUUAUUUACUUCCUGUGAGUCGUCUGGGUGAAACUGUGAUAGAGAGAGAGCCAAGGCACUCACAACUAGUAGAGAGAAGAAGCCUUUUCUUUUCCACCAUAGAAAUCCACGGCUAAACAUAAAUUGUAAUUUUCACAUAGAGGAAAAUGUACUUUAUUUAUUUUUUUAAUUUAAUACGUGACGUUUUAAU
rnacentral:sRNA from 1 species